CGGCGUAAGCACGACUAAAUAGCCAGUCCACACAUUAGGAACGAAACCAAACUAGGCUGUAAAAAGCCAUAAGACACAGUAAUCCCCACCCUAACAAUAAACAACCUCCACUCGUGAAAGCUAGGACACAAACUAAGAUUAGAUACCUUACUAUGCCUAACCAUAACACAACAAUAAAAUCACAUAUUGUUCGCCAAAUAACUACGAGUAAAAACUUAAAAUUUAAAAGACUUGACGGUACCCCACAACAACCUAGAGGAGCCUGUUCAAUAACCGAUACUCCACGAUUAAUCCAACCUUCCCUAGCCUACCAGUCUAUAUACCGCCGUCGCCAGCCUACCUUAUGAAAGAAACAAAGUAAGCCAAACAGUCACACACUAACACGACAGGUCGAGGUGUAACUCAUGGGAAGGACUAGAAUGGGCUACAUUAUCUAAUUCAGAUAACACGGAUAAACUAUGAAACAAGAAACUAAAGGCGGAUUUAGCAGUACACUAUGAACAAUAAUACCUAGUCGAAAUUAGCGCAAUGGGGUGCGUACACACCGCCCGUCAUCCCUGUCAACUGACCAAAACAUUCAUAAACACAAACACUAACCUAAAGCAGGGCAAGUCG
rnacentral:rRNA from 1 species